CCUACGGGAGGCAGCAGUGGGGAAUCUUGCGCAAUGGGCGAAAGCCUGACGCAGCCAUGCCGCGUGAAUGAUGAAGGUCUUAGGAUUGUAAAAUUCUUUCACCGGGGACGAUAAUGACGGUACCCGGAGAAGAAGCCCCGGCUAACUUCGUGCCAGCAGCCGCGGUAAUACGAAGGGGGCUAGCGUUGCUCGGAAUUACUGGGCGUAAAGGGAGCGUAGGCGGAUAGUUUAGUCAGAGGUGAAAGCCCAGGGCUCAACCUUGGAAUUGCCUUUGAUACUGGCUAUCUUGAGUAUGGGAGAGGUAUGCGGAACUCCGAGUGUAGAGGUGAAAUUCGUAGAUAUUCGGAAGAACACCAGUGGCGAAGGCGGCAUACUGGCCCAUUACUGACGCUGAGGCUCGAAAGCGUGGGGAGCAAACAGGAUUAGAUACCCUGGUAGUCCACGCUGUAAACGAUGAGUGCUAGUUGUCGGCAUGCAUGCAUGUCGGUGACGCAGCUACGCAUUAAGUACACCUCCGCCGUCGGGGUAGGUACGGGUCGGCGAAGAAGUUAAAACGUAACGAAAGGAAAGUUAGUACGGCGUGAGACGUGCCGACGGACGACGACGACGGGAGGUUAGG
rnacentral:rRNA from 1 species